rnacentral:rRNA from 1 species
AGGAUGAACGCUGGCGGCGUGCCUAAUACAUGCAAGUCGAGCGAACGGAUGAGAAGCUUGCUUCUCUGAUGUUAGCGGCGGACGGGUGAGUAACACGUGGAUAACCUACCUAUAAGACUGGGAUAACUUCGGGAAACCGGAGCUAAUGCCGGAUAAUAUUUUGAACCGCAUGGUUCAAAAGUGAAAGACGGUCUUGCUGUCACUUAUAGAUGGAUCCGCGCUGCAUUAGCUAGUUGGUAAGGUAACGGCUUACCAGGGCAACGAUGCAUAGCCGACCUGAGAGGGUGAUCGGCCACACUGGAACUGAGACACGGUCCAGACUCCUACGGGAGGCAGCAGUAGGGAAUCUUCCGCAAUGGGCGAAAGCCUGACGGAGCAACGCCGCGUGAGUGAUGAAGGUCUUCGGAUCGUAAAACUCUGUUAUUAGGGAAGAACAUAUGUGUAAGUAACUGUGCACAUCUUGACGGUACCUAAUCAGAAAGCCACGGCUAACUACGUGCCAGCAGCCGCGGUAAUACGUAGGUGGCAAGCGUUAUCCGGAAUUAUUGGGAGUAAAGCGCGCGUAGGCGGUUUUUUAAGUCUGAUGUGAAAGCCCACGGCUCAACCGUGGAGGGUCAUUGGAAACUGGAAAACUUGAGUGCAGAAGAGGAAAGUGGAAUUCCAUGUGUAGCGGUGAAAUGCGCAGAGAUAUGGAGGAACACCAGUGGCGAAGGCGACUUUCUGGUCUGUAACUGACGCUGAUGUGCGAAAGCGUGGGGAUCAAACAGGAUUAGAUACCCUGGUAGUCCACGCCGUAAACGAUGAGUGCUAAGUGUUAGGGGGUUUCCGCCCCUUAGUGCUGCAGCUAACGCAUUAAGCACUCCGCCUGGGGAGUACGACCGCAAGGUUG